UGCAAGAUGGCACACGGAGGCAAAGAACGGGAGCUAAAGCAUCUGCAGCUGGACCCCAACCAGAGCAGUUUGCAAAAAUAAAUAAGAAGCAUGUGACAAGAAGCAGAUUCCCCAGGCUGGAGCUGAAGCCCUGGAUUUCCCCACACGCCCUCCUCCUGCUUCCCUCAGCAAGCCAGGAUGAAGAUAUACCUACUUCUAACGUGGCUGUCGUUGGCAUCAUAUCCCACUCCAAAACAUCUUUUGAGCAGAGGAAAUAGACGUGAAUUAUAAAGUGAGAGACAGUUUCUUCUCUACUCUGCAAUUUAGUAGAAAAAAACUUUUACUCAAUGACAAAUCAGAGGAGAAAUGCAGCAGGAUGAUUUUACAUUAGAAAAAUCAAAGAUUUUCAAAACUACAAUGAGAUACCACCUCACACCAGUCAGAAUGGCAAAGAUUUAACAAGAAAUUCCUCAAGGAUAUCAUCAAUGAUAGCUGCAAUUGGCAUGAACUGGCAAUCCUUAACUUAUAAAUAGCCUCCAUCCCUGUCCCCCCCCCCCACCAGGGGCUCUGCUGCCAUAGAAACAGUUGUUAAUAAACAUGGGUAUUUAGAGAAUCUGUGGGUUCAGAAAUGAAGGAAGAGAAAGUCUGUGAAAAGCAGGAAUUGCUAAAGGGUGCUAAUUCCAGGGAUGGAACUCCGAGGUAGGAUGAGUAGGGAUCUCUUGACCUAAAAUGUACUUUUGUAGCACUGCCUGGGGGGCUUUUCCCCCUUCUGUUAUAUUGCCUGAAAUUUCACCAAAUAGAGAUUGGUUUCUACGUGUCAAAUGUUCUCUUAUAUCUAUAAAUAUCUAUGUGUGGCAGUUAUUCUUAGUGACCUUACUAAUACCCAUUCUGUGUUGCUCACUGUAAUUUUCUUAGGGACCAUGGUGUAACCAGCUUUAAGUAAAAAAACCUUGGUUAAAGCCAGUCAUGACAAUCCUAUUCCAUUUUGCCAGUGAUCCUGAAGACAAGUCUAUUGACUUUAGGGAAGGCUUUUGUUUUCCUGAUAAAGGGACCAUAGGUGGUUGGUACUCUCCUUUUUCUACUUUCUUUGUGCCUUGAAUGCAGAUAUGAAGCUGGGAGAUGUAGGAGCCAUCUUGUAAUCAUGAGAUGACAAGUAUGAGGCUGAAAAUGUGAUUCCAAACAAAUGGAGGAUCAUGGAGGAGAUAGAUCAUGAGAGUUUGGAACAUUGUUGGACAAUAAAUCCAAUCUUGGACUGCCUACCUCCAGGCUUAUUUUGAGGGGAAAAUUUGGGGGGGGGUGAAGGUUUUAACCUUUGUUAUAUGAUAGCAAAGCUUUGAUUAACCUGUGACUGCUGCUUCUUGGAAGGCUGACUAUGUGCCUCUGAAGCUGCAGUGUUAGGAAAAGCUUAGAAUAUUGUCAUGUGUUGGUUACUUUUUGUGACUUUUCUGAAGGAUCCUAGAGAAGGGGGUGAACUCAGAUUAGUGCUCCUCAGCAUGAGAGCAGAGAGGGCAACAAAAUACAGCGUAGGUUCAGAAGUAUUCUGGCUUUAGCUCACAGUCUAAGUUGACAAAGAGUCCCAUAUUUUGGAAUUUUGUAGGGAUUGAGGGAAGUACCUCCUCACCUAAGACUAUUUCUACAAUUGCUUCAAAUCUUUUAUGAGAGUUCAGUAGCUAAGAGAUGAAGAUCUCCAAGCCUAAAAAUUAUUUCAAGAAAUAUUCUUUGGCUGUGUUUACUCCCAGGAAUUGAUCUGA